UUUGAUCCUGGCUCAGGAUGAACGCUAGCGGCAGGCUUAACACAUGCAAGUCGAGGGGUAUAGGUUUUCGGACCUAGAGACCGGCGCACGGGUGCGUAACGCGUAUGCAAUCUACCUUUUACAGGGGGAUAGCCCAGAGAAAUUUGGAUUAAUACCCCAUAGUGUAGUUGAAUGGCAUCAUUUAAUUACUAAAGUUCCAACGGUAAAAGAUGAGCAUGCGUCCUAUUAGCUAGUUGGUGUGGUAACGGCAUACCAAGGCUACGAUAGGUAGGGGUCCUGAGAGGGAGAUCCCCCACACUGGUACUGAGACACGGACCAGACUCCUACGGGAGGCAGCAGUGAGGAAUAUUGGACAAUGGGCGCAAGCCUGAUCCAGCCAUGCCGCGUGCAGGAAGACGGUCCUAUGGAUUGUAAACUGCUUUUAUACAGGAAGAAACACUCCCUCGUGAGGGAAUUUGACGGUACUGUAGGAAUAAGGAUCGGCUAACUCCGUGCCAGCAGCCGCGGUAAUACGGAGGAUCCAAGCGUUAUCCGGAAUCAUUGGGUUUAAAGGGUCCGUAGGCGGUUUAAUAAGUCAGUGGUGAAAGCCCAUCGCUUAACGACGGAACGGCCAUUGAUACUGUUAGACUUGAAUUAUUGGGAAGUAACUAGAAUAUGUAGUGUAGCGGUGAAAUGCUUAGAUAUUACAUGGAAUACCAAUUGCGAAGGCAGGUUACUAUCAAUAUAUUGACGCUGAUGGACGAAAGCGUGGGGAGCGAACAGGAUUAGAUACCCUGGUAGUCCACGCCGUAAACGAUGGAUACUAGCUGUUCGGAGCAAUCUGAGUGGCUAAGCGAAAGUGAUAAGUAUCCCACCUGGGGAGUACGUUCGCAAGAAUGAAACUCACAGGAAUUGACGGGGGCCCGC
rnacentral:rRNA from 1 species